rnacentral:RNase_P_RNA from 1 species
CGGGAUUUCUGGAAUGCCGCUGGCUGAGAAGCUGGAGGAAAGUCCGGACUCCAAAGGGCGACAUGCUGGCUAACGGCCAGGCGGGAAACCGACGGCAAGUGCAACAGAGAGUAGACCGCCCCGACACGGACAUGCCAAAGCAAGUCAUGCGGGGUAAGGGUGAAAGGGUGCGGUAAGAGCGCACCAGUGCAGGCUGUGAAGUCUGCAGCUGGGUAAACCCCAUGUGGAGCAAAACCAAAUAGGGAAACACGUCUUCUUUCCAGACUGGCAUCCAGUCCGGGAAGAGGCAAAGAGCGGCCCGCUCCUGGUUUCCGGGUAGGUUGCUAGAGGUGAUUCGUAAGGGUCAUCCCAGAUGAAUGGCAUUCACCCGCAAGGGUACAGAAUCCGGCUUACAGGAAAUCCCGUUUU